rnacentral:lncRNA from 1 species
UUUUUCUGUGUUCUUGCUAGCGAGCAAGUGCUGCACCGAUCUAGGGAUUUUUGCUAUCUGCAACUCCACAAAAUCUGCACAAAUCUUUUGGGUAGCUCAAAUUAGGGAUGAAAAUGGUGGCUCAAAGUGAUUUUUUGGAUAAUUUCAGCAAGAUGGCAGUGGAGAGAAGAAUAAGAUGAUAGUGUCCAAAACUGGCAAGAAGAGGGAAAGAAAUUUUUGUC